AACAAUCACUGUAAUGAGCAGGUUUAUUACAGAUACAGUGAAUGAAAGAAUCAAUCAACAUCCACAUUUUAUGUCUCCAUACAGGGUCAAGGAAGAGGACUAGGGGGCGGCAAUCUCAGCGGGAUGAGGAGGAUGAAGGUGAGUAAAGUGAAUGAAUAUGAAGAGACAAAGAAUGAAGAAAGAA